UACGUAGGGUGCAGGCGUUAAUCGGAAUUACUGGGCGUAAAGCGUGCGCAGGCGGUUUGCUAAGACAGGUGUGAAAUCCCCGGGCUUAACCUGGGAACUGCGCUUGUAACUGGCAAGCUGGAGUGUGGCAGAGGGGGGUGGAAUUCCACGUGUAGCAGUGAAAUGCGUAGAGAUGUGGAGGAAUACCGAUGGCGAAGGCAGCCCCCUGGGAUAACACUGACGCUCAUGCACGAAAGCGUGGGGAGCAAACAGG
rnacentral:rRNA from 1 species